AAUUGCCUUUGGUAUCUGAUGCCUUGACUUGUUUUGAUAGCUGGGUAUCUCGUUAACAAGGCAUACAUGAAUAAAACAGGUCUUGCGACACAGAAUGCUUGUUACCAUAAGCUUCUAGUUACUAUUUCCCUGUUUACAUAU